GUGGUGUGACUGCGUACCUUUUGUAUAAUGGGUCAGCGACUUAUAUUCUGUAGCAAGGUUAACCGUAUAGGGGAGCCGAAGGGAAACCGAGUCUUAACUGGGCGUUAAGUUGCAGGGUAUAGACCCGAAACCCGGUGAUCUAGCCAUGGGCAGGUUGAAGGUUGGGUAACACUAACUGGAGGACCGAACCGACUAAUGUUGAAAAAUUAGCGGAUGACUUGUGGCUGGGGGUGAAAGGCCAAUCAAACCGGGAGAUAGCUGGUUCUCCCCGAAAGCUAUUUAGGUAGCGCCUCGUGAACUCAUCUUCGGGGGUAGAGCACUGUUUCGGCUAGGGGGCCAUCCCGGCUUACCAACCCGAUGCAAACUACGAAUACCGAAGAAUGUUAUCACGGGAGACACACGGCGGGUGCUAACGUCCGUCGUGAAGAGGGAAACAACCCAGACCGCCAGCUAAGGUCCCAAAGUCAUGGUUAAGUGGGAAACGAUGUGGGAAGGCACAGACAGCCAGGAUGUUGGCUUAGAAGCAGCCAUCAUUUAAAGAAAGCGUAAUAGCUCACUGGUCGAGUCGGCCUGCGCGGAAGAUGUAACGGGGCUAAACCAUGCACCGAAGCUGCGGCAGCGACGCUUAUGCGUUGUUGGGUAGGGGAGCGUUCUGUAAGCCGUUGAAGGUGUGCUGUGAGGCAUGCUGGAGGUAUCAGAAGUGCGAAUGCUGACAUAAGUAACGAUAAAGCGGGUGAAAAGCCCGCUCGCCGGAAGACCAAGGGUUCCUGUCCAACGUUAAUCGGGGCAGGGUGAGUCGACCCCUAAGGCGAGGCCGAAAGGCGUAGUCGAUGGGAAACAGGUUAAUAUUCCUGUACUUGGUGUUACUGCGAAGGGGGGACGGAGAAGGCUAUGUUAGCCGGGCGACGGUUGUCCCGGUUUAAGCAUGUAGGCGGAGGUUCCAGGUAAAUCCGGUACCUUUUAACGCUGAGGUGUGAUGACGAGGCACUACGGUGCUGAAGUAACAAAUGCCCUGCUUCCAGGAAAAGCCUCUAAGCAUCAGGUAACAUCAAAUCGUACCCCAAACCGACACAGGUGGUCAGGUAGAGAAUACCAAGGCGCUUGAGAGAACUCGGGUGAAGGAACUAGGCAAAAUGGUGCCGUAACUUCGGGAGAAGGCACGCUGAUAUGUAGGUGAAGCCCCUGCGGGUGGAGCUGAAAUCAGUCGAAGAUACCAGCUGGCUGCAACUGUUUAUUAAAAACACAGCACUGUGCAAACACGAAAGUGGACGUAUACGGUGUGACGCCUGCCCGGUGCCGGAAGGUUAAUUGAUGGGGUUAGCGGCAACGCGAAGCUCUUGAUCGAAGCCCCGGUAAACGGCGGCCGUAACUAUAACGGUCCUAAGGUAGCGAAAUUCCUUGUCGGGUAAGUUCCGACCUGCACGAAUGGCGUAAUGAUGGCCAGGCUGUCUCCACCCGAGACUCAGUGAAAUUGAACUCGCUGUGAAGAUGCAGUGUACCCGCGGCAAGACGGAAAGACCCCGUGAACCUUUACUAUAGCUUGACACUGAACACUGGUCCUUGAUGUGUAGGAUAGGUGGGAGGCUUUGAAGCGUGGACGCCAGUCUGCGUGGAGCC
rnacentral:rRNA from 1 species